CCUCUCGGUUGAUUUACGUUACUAUCAAAAUACACAUUUUAACAAAGAAGUUCAACGAUAUGACAAAAUAUGGCUUUUCGAACGGGAAGCACUAUCAGUUAGCUCAACCUUGAUAAAUACCGAUAAAUUUCUCGGAAAUGCAGAAUAAAUUUUAUUUAUUGUUAAAUACAGAUGUGGUUUUUUUUUCAAAUUAUGCAUUUAACGUAUCCACGUGAACCUAUCCAUACCCCCUCCCCCCUCACCGUGAACAAGUGUGGACAUUUUCGCAACCCUUACCCCCUCUAAAGUUGUCCACGUGGCAUGUGGACAGCCCCUAAUGAGAUUUAUGGGAUUAUUCAAGUAUUCAAAUAUUACGUAACGCACUGAAAAAGGGAGGAGGGGAUGGCUUGUGGAAACUUGUUUAGAAAUAAAUCAGUGUUUUCGGACCGAUUAAGUCAGCGCGCAAAAAAGUUUGUUUCGAUUUCACGGAACAAGGAAAAGAAAACAAAGGCGGAUUGCGUUAAAGCAUUCCAAUAUUCUCGUAAUGGCUGUCAUAAGCGUAACCUUGAAGAGCAAAUAGAAAAGUCCAUGGCCUUGUCGAGGUCCUCUGCGAGUCUGACAGACCAUCCGAGAUCCGCACUCGUGUAAUCACACCAUUCAUCUUCGCCUGAAUAUAUCCGGUCAGCUUCUCGAGUAAACUGUGCUCGUCCAUGAUCUUCCAAAACUGUCGUAAGUUGUGAUUUCGUGCCAUAAUGGGCAAAGACCGACCAAGGUCCGACCAGAAGCCCACAUCCUCCUUCGUGUGAUAUUUCGUGAUGAAGACAGCAACUUCUGGUAGGCACUUUGUACUGUAUAUUUCUCCGUUCACCUCAAGCAUCGAAGAAAAGAACAGCGGCUUGGACAUUCCCUUUUUAUUGAUGGCCAGCCACAGAAGGGCAUUCUAUGGGAACUUGGUGUAGGAGAUAUAUUUUCGAGGCACCUACGGGUGGUUCAAAUCAGACAUCCGUUCGACGCUCUUGCCUUUCCCUAGAAUGGAGAGGUUGUUGUAAAAGCCGGAUCGGCUAUAUCCAGCGAACAUGAAGUGCCUCACGAUGUCCAACUUCUUCCCUUCGCUUUGAACAAACCAUCGAUUGACUGCUCAUCAUGGCUGGUUCAAAUAAACUGAGAGAGCGUCGAAGUAUUGUUUGUAGAAACUUAAAUAAAAGUAGGAUUGAAGAAAGAAAAUUGUGCAUUGACUUAUCGAGCUUGAUUCUCUAAUACACUU